rnacentral:sRNA from 1 species
GAAGCUGAUUUUACACCCCUUAAGCCGGGACUGUAUCCCUUUUGUUUGCGACUUAAAAAAUGCUACUCGUAUCUAGUAAUAGCUGGCUACGUUUUACUAUGCUGUGAGACUCGUAGAGUUUUACCUCCUAAAAAGAAACUCGGUAUGUUGUGAAUGCUACAACUGACACUGCACCGUGUGCAGUGGCUCAACAUUUUUUGUGGUCAGAUGGCUAUGCUUGCACCGUGAGACUCGUAGAGUUGUGCAUCU